rnacentral:rRNA from 1 species
UACGUAGGCAGCAAGCGUUGUUCGGAGUACUGGGCGUAAAGGGUGCGUAGGCGGCCUUAUAAGUAUGGUGUGAAAUCUCCCGGCUUAACUGGGAGGGUGCGCUAUAGACUGUGGGGCUAGAGUGUGGGAGAGGAAAGUGGAAUUCCUGGUGUAGCGGUGAAAUGCGUAGACUAUCAGGAGGAACACCGGUGGUGUAAACGGCUUUCUGGACAUAACUGACGCUGGAGGCACGAAAGCGUGGGUAGCAAACAGG